UAGUCCACGCCGUAAACGAUGAGCACUAGAUUUUGGUGGUAUUGACUCCUUCAGAAUCGCAGCUAACGCAUUAAGUGCUCCGCCUGGGGAGUACGGCCGCAAGGCUAAAACUCAAAGGAAUUGACGGGGGCCCGCACAAGCGGUGGAUUAUGUGGUUUAAUUCGAAGCAACGCGAAGAACCUUACCUGGGCUUGAACUCCUGAGAAUUCAAAGUAAUUUUUGAAGUGCCCUUCGGGGAAUUCAGUGAGAGGUGCUGCAUGGCUGUCGUCAGCUCGUGUUGUGAAAUGUUGGGUUAAGUCUCGCAACGAGCGCAACCCCUAUCUUUAGUUGCCAGCAUUUAGUUGGGCACUCUAGAGAGACUGCCUGGGUUAACCAGGAGGAAGGUGGGGAUGACGUCAAGUCCUCAUGGCCCUUAUGUCCAGGGCUACACACGUAAUACAAUGGUGCAAACAAAGGGAAGCGAACUCGCAAGGGGGAGCAAAUCUCAAAAAUUGCAUCUCAGUCCGGAUUGG
rnacentral:rRNA from 1 species